GACUUCGCCAGGAAAGAAAAGGUCACUGGCUGAAUCUGAGGCCAUCCAGACACACAUAGGUUUUAUUUGGAAGCACCUUUCUCCUCCCUGAUCCUCACACUGUGUUGGUGAUUUUUGAACUUUGUAUUGGAGGGGCCUGGUUUUGCAAGCAGACUCCCAUGAUACCAACACCUUCCCUCACAGCUCCCCCCAAACUCUGCUUGUCUCCCUGGACCCAGCCACAGCCCCAGCAUCUCUGCUACCGUAGGAGAGCUGCGGGUGAUGCUGGUGAUCCUCUUCAGGAAGGAGGAAAUCACAGCAAGGAUUACCAUGCUGCUUUGUGGAUGUUCCUCAGCAGCUUGCCAUCUACCCAGUCAGCAUGUCACUGCUGGAGGCCACAAAGCCAUGACUACCCUCAACCACAGGCUAGUGGCUGUGUGAUCAAGUGCCAUCUUAUCCUGGUAGAGAACUUUGGGCAAGCUUCUAGCCACCCUAUGGUUUACCUCUCAGAUUUGUAGGAAUGGCACUAAAGAACACUGGCAACCAGGGUUUAAUAAAAGCAGUUAAAAGGCUGUUAAUUGUACA
rnacentral:lncRNA from 1 species